AUGGCCUCUCCCCGUCGUCCGACCACCACACUAGUCUUUGUGUCGUUGCUAUGCCUCUACCAAGCGCCACGCUGGGCCUUCUCGCUCUCCUUCAGCCUCGACUUCUCCGACCUCACUGCCGGCACGUCGAUCCUCGUCGCCGGCGACGCCCUCAUCAGUCCACCAGCGCUCCAGCUGACGAAAAAUAGCUGGGCGUCGUACCGGUACAAAGUGCCUCUAUGGAACGGCGCCACGGGCGAGAUUGCUAGCUUCGCCACCGCCUUCUCCUUCCGGAUCACCCCAGAGAAGGAGGACAGCCCGAACGGGAUGGCCUUCUUCCUCGGCCAUCUCCCUUCGUUGGACGUCCCCCGCAACAGCAGCGGCAGUGCCGGCGGCGGGACAGGCGAGAGCCGGAUCGUGGCGGUGGAGUUCGACGCUUUCCUCAACAAUGUCGGCAUCGACGUCAGCUCCGCCAACUCCACGGCAGCAUCCGCGUACGCGACGGCGACCUGGCCGGGCAAGAACCUCACGUCGUCCAGUGUGAUGGAGGCCACCGGGAAGUACCACAAUGACACCAAAUUGCUGGCCGUCGGUCUCCUCAUCGGCGAUGCCCUGUACCAGGUCAAUGCAACCGUUGACCUGCGCAGAAUCCUAAUGGAGGAGGUCGCAGUCGGUUUCUCCGCGGCGAAUGGCGCCGCCGCCGGGCUGCACAGGAUACUGUCGUGGUCGUUCAGUUCCAGUCUGCCCGAAUCAAAGCGGGAAGCGCCGCCGCCUGCUGAACCUACUCUCCCAACCAGCAGCUACAGCCACAGGAAGGUAGCAUUGGUCCUACUAUUCAUAGGAACAAUCGCCAUGAGGUGUGUCCGGAUAGGAUUUCAGGCUGGAUUCAACCCAUCACCGGGCCAUGUUACCUUAGGCCCCGAUUGGGAUGCUGCAUUUUUGCUACCCCCGUAA
rnacentral:rRNA from 1 species